rnacentral:rRNA from 1 species
GACGAACGCUGGCGGCGUGCCUAAUACAUGCGAGUAGAACGCUGAAGGAGGAGCUUGCUUCUCUGGAUGAGUUGCGAACGGGUGAGUAACGCGUAGGUAACCUGCCUGGUAGCGGGGGAUAACUAUUGGAAACGAUAGCUAAUACCGCAUAAGAGUAGAUGUUGCAUGACAUUUGCUUAAAAGGUGCAAUUGCAUCACUACCAGAUGGACCUGCGUUGUAUUAGCUAGUUGGUGAGGUAACGGCUCACCAAGGCAACGAUACAUAGCCGACCUGAGAGGGUGAUCGGCCACACUGGGACUGAGACACGGCCCAGACUCCUACGGGAGGCAGCAGUAGGGAAUCUUCGGCAAUGGACGGAAGUCUGACCGAGCAACGCCGCGUGAGUGAAGAAGGUUUUCGGAUCGUAAAGCUCUGUUGUAAGAGAAGAACGAGUGUGAGAGUGGAAAGUUCACACUGUGACGGUAUCUUACCAGAAAGGGACGGCUAACUACGUG